rnacentral:rRNA from 1 species
AACGAACGCUGGCGGCAGGCCUAACACAUGCAAGUCGAGCGCCCCGCCAGGGGAGCGGCGGACGGGUGAGUAACGCGUGGGAAUAUGCCCUUUGCUACGGAAUAGUCUCGGGAAACUGGGGGUAAUACCGUAUACGCCCUUUGGGGGAAAGAUUUAUCGGCGAAGGAUUAGCCCGCGUUGGAUUAGGUAGUUGGUGGGGUAAUGGCCUACCAAGCCGACGAUCCAUAGCUGGUUUGAGAGGAUGAUCAGCCACACUGGGACUGAGACACGGCCCAGACUCCUACGGGAGGCAGCAGUGGGGAAUCUUAGACAAUGGGGGCAACCCUGAUCGAGCCAUGCCGCGUGAGUGAUGAAGGCCUUAGGGUUGUAAAGCUCUUUCAGCUGGGAAGAUAAUGACGGUACCAGCAGAAGAAGCCCCGGCUAACUCCGUG